UACGUAGGGGGCUAGCGUUGUCCGGAUUUAUUGGGCGUAAAGAGCGUGUAGGCGGCCUGGUAGGUCUGCUGUGAAAACUCGAGGCUCAACCUCGAGAUGUCGGCGGAAACCAUCUGGCUAGAGUCCGGAAGAGGAGAGUGGAAUUCCUGGUGUAGCGGUGAAAUGCGCAGAUAUCAGGAAGAACACCUAUGGCGAAGGCAGCUCUCUGGGACGUAACUGACGCUGAGACGCGAAAGCGUGGGGAGCAAACAGG
rnacentral:rRNA from 1 species